AAUGGCACCCCAAACUCCCACAAUCUUCUUCCAAGCCCACACUUUUGUGAGGUAAUGCAGCUUUGACUGUCAGGUAGUCAAAGUUUGCUGCAGAGCUUGCCUAACAAGGCCCACUUAGCAUUCUUGAAGUUAUCCUAAAAUAAUAAGGUGGAACUGUUAGUUUGUGCACACCAGGGGUCUCCACCUUCCAGCAUUGUUUAACUCCAGCACUAAUUAUAUACACCUGAAACAUCUAAUCAAGGGCUGUGUCUGAAAUUUUCCCAAUAUACCUCAACAGUGCACUAUUUGAGGGCACAGCCAUUUGUAGUGGUGUCCAAAACUAAAGUGGACAUUUUCGAGAACACCCAUAAUGUGAAUUAAUGACGAGUUUACAACCAAUGUACCCUUAAUGUCUAGCCACUAGAGAAUAUCCAUGCACUGUGAGGGUCUUGCCAAUGGCAUCCAGAUGGCAGUUUUGGUGCACUAAUUCUCACUGGUGUUUGCUGGCUCGUUUUCAUCCAAUCAUUCAGCAGACUAUAUUAGUUGAGUAAUGUAUAGGAAUAGUGAAUGCAGUUGUAGGGGGUGUUUCUGGAUAAAGCCAAGGUCUUCAGGAUCACUAGAAACUUCCAGAAAGGGUUUCUAUUUACGCAACGUUGCAGCAAGAACAACAAACAAACUAUAUGACAGUGACAAUCUCAGAUAUGUGCAUCCUCCGAAGAAUCUCCAGUUAUAUUAAAAAUGUCCACUUGCACUGGAUGAUAGCAAACUGAGGGAAUUCCUUGUAGCCUUGCCCAGAGAAUGAAAGGCAAAUACCAACUAAGCAGCUUCAAUGGGUGCGUCAAGCUGUCCUUUGUCUGUUGACUGUGAAAGCUUUUUAACACCACCACUUCAACAUUUCAUGACAGAAGACAAAUGAUUUCUGUAAUGGACAAAUAAUUGCAAAGGUAUGUUUAUCUAUCUAUAGUUCUGCAAGCAAAUGAUUUUAUGAUUAUUUGCUUAUAUCAUGGUGACCUUAUCCUCUUUUUGCCAGCAUAAUAAUUGAUACUGCAUCUCUUUAUGAUCCAGCAGCAUGAAUACACAUUUACUUGUUGGGAUACAACACCCAUAGACUAACAGGAUAGAGAAGUAAUUCAAACAUGACACACCUGAGCUGACAAACAUACAGUGUGUAUAAGAGAGCAUGUUUACUAAAGUGAAUAAAACUCUCAUAUCAGCAACAAAAAAAGGAACACUAUGAAGAAAAGAGACAGAAACUCUAUCAGUCUCUCAAUGUGUUCAUGCUGAACAGGCACAUGUUUUGUCUGUUUGACAUUGGUUUAGCUCAGAUUGUUUCACAGCUAUCAAUAUGAUGCUGCUCAUUUAACGUCACUAUACCAUAUGUAAGAAAGAACAAAACCUUCCUUCAAUUGUCUUAAACUCUGUCCUCCUUUUGGCAUUGAAACCCAGCAGAAAGUGUUUUUGAUAAAACACAUACACACAUCUCAUAAAGGCAAGUCAGAUGCAUUCCAGUCUAACCUCUACUAAUGAGCUCACUGUGUGCAAGAGACUUGUCUUGCAGCAAUUCUUUUGCUGAGGUUAUCCUUUCAUACUAAUCUGGGACCAGCUCUGCCAUUACUUCUGUAAUGUUAUUUGCUCAUUAUUGAUUGUACGUGACCACUAGUAAAAAUAAAAUAAUA